CGAUCGGAAAAAAUGGAGAGAGAAGAUCACGGAGAGAAGCGCGUCCUCCCUCCCUCCUCCGGCGUCUCUCCGUCGCCUCCUUCGGGCGGCGCGCGAAUUCCUCGUAUCCGCCGGCGCGUCGAUCCGGGCUUCCGGAGAUCCCCGGUAAGCUUCCGAAAUCCGCUAUCCCCGCACGCUCGCGCUCUGACUGUUCGUCCGAUCGUCGGGUCGAACCUCGGGCGAUCCGGUCCGCGUCGAGAUUCGGAGCUUAAUGGCGAAACCGAGAUUUGCAUCCGAUGCUCGGAUUGUGCGUGUCCCGCGGCCAUGGCUACAUGUCGGAUCGAUCCAUUAUGCAUAAGAUCUGCCGGUACUCCUCUCGCUGUUCGAUCUGUAGUAGAAUCUGGCAUUUUUCUCCAGCUCAAUUGGUUGGAUGAAGAUAGUUCAUCCAGAUUGUUUAGAGGCCAGAUGGACCAUUCAUCCGUAUUGAGAUAGUUCGGGCUGGCUUGGAUUUUCUUAAUCCGUCUUCGCGGGGCAGACAUUGCGCCGCGUCUUAACGUUUUUCUUCGGUAACUUAAGUACAUUGCCCGCAUGUCGACAGCGAGAUUCUAUUCUGGUGCUGAUGUUUUUCUCCUCCUCGCAGAUCAUUUGCAUCUGCAAUCGCUGGCUGUACCGGGUCUUCCUCGCCGUCUCAUAUUCUCGAGGGCAUUCGACGAAAGGCACACGAGAAGAUCUAGUUUUCUGAUGGAGAGACAAUCCUAGACUUCUAAGACAUUUGGUAUAUCAUGGGCCUAAUGACUCCUAGUAGUUGUGCAAUGCCAGUGGGGGUGAAUGGUGAAGGCAAGAGGUUUCCGAAUGGAUCAGGUCGUGGUGAUCGUGGUUUUGUUCUUGAAGUACACAGCACAAGUGCAUACGACAAUGAUGCAACAUGGGCUUAAUUUGCAAGCGCGCAUCCUGGGCGAGGCUUUUGCUAGACGGAAAUUGAAGGCGAAGAGGUAAGUGA